rnacentral:rRNA from 1 species
CUACUCCUCGUGUGCGUCGUCGACGUACGUCAGAGAGUUGUAUCGUGGCUCAGAACGACGCUGGCGGCAGGCCUAACACAUGCAAGUCGAACGCCCUGGCAACAGGGAGUGGCAGACGGGUGAGUAACGCGUGGGAAUCUACCUUGUGGUACGGAACAACCAAGGGAAACUUUGGCUAAUACCGUAUGAGCCCUUCGGGGGAAAGAUUUAUCGCCAUAAGAUGAGCCCGCGUAGGAUUAGCUAGUUGGUGAGGUAAUGGCUCACCAAGGCGACGAUCCUUAGCUGGUCUGAGAGGAUGACCAGCCACACUGGGACUGAGACACGGCCCAGACUCCUACGGGAGGCAGCAGUGGGGAAUAUUGGACAAUGGGCGCAAGCCUGAUCCAGCCAUGCCGCGUGUGUGAUGAAGGCCUUAGGGUUGUAAAGCACUUUCGCCGAUGAAGAUAAUGACUGUAGUCGGAGAAGAAGCCCCGGCUAACUUCGUG